AAUAGUUAAAAAGAAAAGGGGACCAGGAUUGGAGGUUAGAAUAUAAAAUCCAUUAUUUUAAAUGUUUUUAUGGUUUGAUGUUUAUGUUUUAUAUGCUAACCAUUAUAAAUAAGGAUCAAAUCAAGAUUUUUGUUGUUCUGUAUUUUUCACAUAAAAAGGAAUGUCUAAGAAUUUUUCUUUCUAAAUUGAAUGCAAACAUAAGCAUGUGUGCUAGGUUUUCUAGGAGAGUCCUAUUCCUCAUAAAACUUCAUCCCAGAUUGUCCCUUUGUUUCCAUUUCUUCUAUGAGGGAGAAAGUAUGGACUCAUGUAAUCAGUGGAACUAAGGCCCUGGAUUUGGAGCAUGAACACGUGGAAGGGCUAGCACGUGCACUGCCUCUAUGUGAUUGAAGUGUCACAAUGAUCAAGAAAAAUGAGUUACUCUGAAUUCACAUUUCAUGGCAUCACGAAGGUCACAGAUGGAAUCCAGAAAGUGGAGCUGUCUCAUCAAUAUGCUAAUUUGGUUCCAGUCUUCUAUGAUUGCUGUUCAGCUGCAGGCAAUUUUGAGGCAUAACAUACUGGAAUCUAGGAGAAGAGAGGAACGUGAGAAGGGUGAAGAUUACAAAAAAGCCUUUCAAGAUACUGGAGCCACAAGGCAGAAGAAGACUUUGUUGCCAAGGAGAAAAUCUGUCCCCAGACCAAGGAGCUCCUGCAACACUUCCUCUUGUGUGUGACUCUGAAACAAACACCAUCUCUCAUCCUGAACAAUUCUUUGGUAAUGUGGAUCCAGGAAGAAUAGCUAGAAAAUUAUCCUGCCCUUUCUUUGGGAAGCUGGUGAUGACCUGAAAUAAGACAGAUCAUGAACCACGUGUUUGUGAUCUGACCCAGAAACCAAACUGGAAGCCUAAGGAAAAGAACCAUGGGGUAAGAAACAAGCCCGAUGAUGGUUUGGGCAGAAAGACUUCCGUGGCUCAUCAAAAUUCAUCUUUCAACAGAGAUGUGGCCUUGUAAUGAAGUAUUACCAGUGGAAGAUACAGAAGAAAUGGUAUACCAUUUCUAGGUUAAGAAAGUUAAGAACAGACAAGUCUUAUCUAUGCACUUUCUCUUUUCCUUCCUGCAGACUCUGGAAACUUUGUUGAAGAUGGAAGCAUCUCAAGAUGAAAGGGAUCUGUGUCCUGACAGACCCUGUGGUCCAACUAUAUUGGACUGUGGUAUGAUCAAACAUUAAGUGUCAAGCUGCUAAAAUCUUCCAAUUGUUCGUUAUAGAAGUUAAUCUCCUUUGACUUUGAAGAUUUGAUUUUAAAAAAUCUCAUUGGUCUCCUUUGCAGAAUACUAGAGAAAAAUUCAUUAUUCUGUCACCUGGUAAGUAAAGAGAAAGGGCACACAUAUACUUUACUUUCUUGUACCUGUAGGGGUUUGGUUAGCCAGAGGGAGCCGUUUGGUUGUAAAUUUAAGAUUGACCGCGCCACUCCCAGAGGAACUUGCUUGCAAACCCCGGAUAUAGGAGCAGGCCAAGCUGGAUGGAGACAUCCAAUCAGUGGGGCGCACACAUAU